UUGAGGCCGGCCGCUUGGUGGCGCCUGUGGCCGCAGGGAUUUGACUGGGCCUUCUCUAGCUUUCCCCGGUUUGCUGCACUUGACGCUGCAGGGCGGGCGGGGUAAAGAAGGGAGCGAGCCCUUCUCAAGCUUGGAAAGUUUCCAGACUGCUGGGCCAGCCUCCUCCCCAGAGGGAAACUGAGGUCCGAUUGAGGUUUCUCCAAGACCGCCCACUCCUGCUCCUGUCCCCAAACCCCUUUCUGCCUAGGGUUCCUGGAAGCCAAGGAAACAGAACGAACUGUUCCCUGGGUGGGCGAGCCACUGCAGAGUACAAAGCUUUCAGGCCGCCUGCCUCAUUAGCACUAAUGGCUGCUCCCUUCCGCCCUGUGUCGUCAGGACUGUCUAUGCCUGGUCUCAUCAGCACAAGGCUGGGGGCAACUGUUUGAAAAUGCUGCAGAAACAUGAGAAAUGUUCAUGAAGUGACCCUGUGGAGGCUUCCGGUCACAGGAUCAUGUGAGCGCCACGAUCACCCCAGGGGUGGAGCAGAUGCUAAGUGUUCACCACACCCAAUUCUCUUCCUGGACACACAGGAAGAUGACAUUUCCAGUGACAUGCCCCACCUCUAGGCCCUAGUCUUUUUUUUAUUUAAAGGUCUGAGUCUUGUUCUGUCACCCAGGCUGGAGUGCAGUGCUGUGAUCAUGACUCACUGCAGCCUCAACCUCCUGUGCUCAAACAAUCCUCCCACCUCAGCCUCCCUAAUAGCUGAUGUCAUAUAGGCAUGAGCCAGUGUGCCUGGCUCAGGCCCUACCCUUAAAAGCAUCCCACCUGAUUCACCAGCCCCCUUCUCUCUCUCAGUAAACUUGGAAACCACGCAUUCCAGAUGGUAUAAUUUACAGCAUGAUGGAAAAAGCCAGCUCUCCAUGGGAAGCUGGCCAGUCUUCAUUGGAGUACAUUUUUAUUGCAUGAAGCCAAUGAGACUUGAUAUUGUUUAACUCUGUGGUUUCCAAAGUGCGGUCCUUUUGAAGUAUCCAUAAAGUCUACACUAGGUUCACGGUAAUAUUAAGAUGUUAUUUGUCAGCUGGGCACGGUGGCUCACGCCUAUAAUCUCAGCACUUUGGGAGGCCAAGGCAAAUGGAUAAUGAGGUCAGG
rnacentral:lncRNA from 1 species